rnacentral:lncRNA from 1 species
GUCAACCUCGUGAUUCAUGGGAGCUCCCUUAGAUGGCGUUUGAUUUUUAUUUCUUCCGUGAUUCUGCUUACCUUCUCCGUUACCCACGAAUUGUGCAGAGCCGUUUGAUUGGGGAGAAGUUACCUUUCCGGACCUACGUGAUUUCGGGGUCACCAACUGCCAAGGACCCUCCGGCUCCGCCGUCAUAGCAAUCGCCGGAACAGCAGCAGUCUGGGUAAUUUCUUAAUCUCUCAGGGCCAUACAGUUUCAUAUGGAGUUUGUACCUUCGAUAAAUAUUUUUGUACAUUCGUCUCGAUCAUAUUUUUUGAAAUGCAUAUCGUCUUAAUUGUUCAAACAAAAAUACUUAGAUUUUUUUCUUCUAACCCAAACCGAGUGAGACAAAUGAUAAAUCUACAAAAUAAUACUUAGAAAGUAAAAUCGUAAAAUAUAUGAAAAUUAUUGAUUUUACUAGAUUCUAAGAUUUUAAUAAAAAUUUUAUCUGAUUCCACUAACAAACAAUUUUGAGUACUAUUUGUGUUUGUGACUCGAAUCGUCUCGAAGUGAACCUAUUCACGAACCGACUCGAAAGCUUAACGAGCCGAACUCGAGCCACAACGUAUUCGACUCGGGUGAUUCACGAGCCGGCUCGAAUUGUUGGCUCGCCGAACACGGCUCGCGAACAUGUUCGUUUAUGUUUGUCGAGCCGGCUCAGCUCGUUGGCUAGUCAAACCAAAUAAUCAAGCCGGCUAUGUAAUUACUUUUUUAUCAUUAGUAGCCUAGUAGUAUUAGUAUAUGUUUAUACAUUUCAACAAUAUUAAUAUAUUUUUAUAAUAUUUAAAUCUAAAUAAAUGUAUAACAAUUUUCUUUUAAACAAUAAAUCAGUAUAGAAAAAAUUAAAGUCUUAAGAAGUUCUUAUUGAAGAAAGUUAUAAGACGCUUAAACAAAUAUCAAAGAUCGAUUGAGUUUAUUUGAUGAAGUAUGCUAUACGCUUAUAAUUGUAAUUGUACAAAGUAACAGGUUGAUCCUUAAUAGAGUUGAAAUAAGAUUUAUGGUAUAUACUGUACUGUACAAUUUAGGACUUCAGGGUGUCUAUGCAUUUGUUUAGAGCAAGUCGGGCACAUAUAGGUAUAAGCAUUCAUGGUUAUGCUAUCAAAAUCGGAUAGGAUUAUGGAUUAAGCACUUAUGUUAUAUGAAUAUAUGACUCAUUAUGUUCAUGUAGGCAACUAUAGUAAAGUGGUAACAAGUAGGGUUGCAACAUCUUGAAAUCAGUCUUUAACAUGUAAAAAACAAGUUUACUGAGAUGGUUGGUUUGUUAAUGUUUUAACCUUUCUCAUGAAUCAGGUUAUGUAUGAUACAGUGGUAAUUCUAAUAGAUGGAAAGACUUUUACACAAAUUUGGUAGCCUUUGCACCAACAACUUUAUCUGGGAGGUUGCUCCACGUGAUGGUUUUGAGCAUGAACAUGGAUGUUUUAUGGAUUAUGAACGCUAAACUCCUUUUGUUUUUAAAGUAGAAUGCUGAACUCUUUUGUUCAUUGUUCGGCUACUCAUUUCAAACUAUGGAUUAUCAUUUUCUGUAAUGACUGACAGACUAUUGCGAUGCGUUUGAGUCCUUCCCAUGUUCAUUUUCCAACUAAUGUAUGAUGAGAGUAGAGUCUGGGGACAAAUGACUACCGUGGACUCUGGGG